AUGUUACAGUAUGGAGUUCUGCUGAUGAUUAUGUCAGCUGUUAGUGGUCAGUCUUUGACCUCCUCAGACUCUGUGGUGAAAAAGCCUGGAGAAUCAGUGACUCUGUCCUGCACUGUGUCUGGAUUCUCAAUGAGCAGCUACUGGAUGCACUGGAUCCGUCAGAAACCAGGGAAAGCACUGGAGUGGAUUGGGUGUAUUGAUGGUGGCACUAGCACUAUUUUUGCUCAGUCUCUACAGGGACAGUUCUCCAUCACCAAAGACACCAGCAAAAACAUGCUGUAUUUACAGUCUCAACUGUAA